AACCUCUGAAGAGAAAGGCGUCCCGGCCUGCGGGUAGGGAGCUACGGGCGCGUAUCUCGGUCACACGCACCGAGGGGCGCCGGUGACGAGCGAGUCCUCUGAGGCGAGCCUUGUCCGACAGCCGCUGCCCGCUUCCUCAGCCUCCGCUCUGCCCAGGCUGCCCCGACCCGGGGCGGGGGUGCAUUUUGCGUGUCCCGACGCGGCCGGAUCCUCUGCCGGCCGAGGCCCGGCGGGCUGCUGACCGCGGCUCGGCUCGUUCGAAAGAGGCCGCGAGAGUCCGCCUUGACCUCUCGGGCGCCCCCACCCGCGCAACCGGCGGCCGACGCGGCAAAGCCACCCAACCGACGCGUCCUCGCGCGAGGUGGCUGCGCGGAGGCCGGACGAACAGAAACCCGCCACGCGUGCGAAAGCUCUGUCUACAUUCGGAAAGCGGUAAGAACGUGUCGUACGAUGACCAAUGUCCACCUUAAGAGUAUCACGACAGCUCGUAGAUUUGUCAGCAGACCACACAACACGCUAUUGACGACAAGGUAGACUCUCUACAAGUUCAAAAUGUAGAUCGUGUGGCACCAUCCCAACGCCAGCAUCGUUUGUUUUUCCAGGGGCCCUGACGUCACACGCCACUGGAAGGUCCUCUUCCAAAAGAGUAUCAUGAGCUUUUACGAAAAGCGGUCACUUGUUUCCAUGGUAACCAGGACUGGUGACAACGCUCCCUCCCCGACAGCUCAAGCCCCAGGAGCCAUGGGUGAAGGGAACCAGUGGCUGCUGCCAGGAUCCAGACAUCACCCCCAAAGCCUCAGCCUGGUCCAAGCCGCAGACAAAGCUCUCCACAGGAGCAGUUUGAGCGGCAUCCCGGGAUUCUAAGGAAACUGCAUCCGGGCAGGACAUUUUCUUCUAGAACACUGGUUAGAUUCGACUAGAACUGGAGCAAGAAAAUACUUCUGUGGCAUAAUGUCUACUGAGGGGAAAGAACAAUGAUGCGCGGUAACAUUCAAUCAGGCCCUAAACUGACAGGGAGAUUCCACCUGGGCGACGCCACGGUGGCUGCUGGGCCAGGUGUCCCUGACAGCAUUGGGGCCACACUCACCUCAGGUGAGUCCCGCUCCCCCGUCAAACACAGGAUACAGGUAACACCUGGGACUGCUCCUUCAGCAGACAGGAAGUCCCUUCUGGUGCCUCCUCCUUUCAACCGAGAUGUGUCACCAACGACACUUAAUUACUGUUGUCCAGUAAUUGUCCAGUAAUUGCACCGCUGUCAUCUGCGUUUCCCAAGUUCUUUGGGCGCGCAUCACGCAGCCAAAGGGGUCACUUCUACCUGGGACUUAUCCACCAGCCCGGUUGAACCGGCCUUCCUUUGCCCCGAGCAGGGAAGUUCCAAGCAGGGUUCAUCGGUGUUCGGUGAAAGCAAAGAAAAUCCAAACCGCGGCAAAGCAAGUGGGGGAAAGGGGCCCAGGCCCGCACCUUGGCCGCUUAUACACACGGUUGGUGUAUUUAUGAAACCUGUUGUGCCAGUCGAAGGGGGACCAUCCAGGGUAAAAGUCAGACCCGUCCAUCCUCGUUCCUCCGGGCGCGCGGAGGACGCCAGGCGCUGCGGGGCGGCAUCCGGACGUGGCCCCGGGGGUCGCGGGAGGAUGCGGGUCCCCGGCCGAUAAGGCUGCCCCGGGCAACCCCAACGCGCCGACCCCCACCCCCGCCGGCGCCCGGCGCCGGGAGGGCGACUGUGCCCUGCGGCCACAGGGCCCACCUUGGAGCGGUCGCCGACAAGGGCGACGAGGGCGACGGGCUGCAGA